GUAUAUCUCCAUAUGGAACUUAUAAGAGAAAAGCGUUCAGAGUAAGAUGUUGCUGUUCCUUUAACAAUUUAUCUCAGAAGGUAAUUUUCUCCACUUCUUAGACAUCCAUACUCAAUGCACAAAAGCUCUUUUAUUGAAAGUUCCUGAUCCUCCUCAGGUCUGACAGCCUCCCUGACUUACUGGCAGGAAACUGUCUUCAUCAGGAGGAGCCUCUGGGCCUGGACGGAGUUCAGGGCAGAAACAGCCCAGUUUCUGCAGUAAUAUUUGUCCAGCGGUGGAAUUUUAAACAAUGCUGUCUUACCCAGGGGGCUCAGUUCACCUGGACAAGGUACGGUGGACAGAAGAAUAUUACCCAGGUGCGGGAGCUGGGGUGGACUCACGGUGCGGAGGCUCAGCUGGGAGAGAACUGUGCACCUCAGCAGACCGGGUGUAAUCAGCCUAAGCAGUGAGGGUUUCUCUUUUUCUAAAGGAGUGUGGUCCAGGACGUGUGAUCAAGGGAGGUUUGAGGUGACUAUGGCGUGACUCUUUUGUUCAAUGAACUCUGCACACACUAGUAUUGGAGAAGGUCUCUGUCCU
rnacentral:lncRNA from 1 species